CCAUCCCGAACACGACCGUUAAGCCCUCCAGCGCCGAUGGUACUUGGACCGAAGGGUCCUGGGAGAGUAGGACGUUGCCAAGC
rnacentral:rRNA from 1 species